UCUGGUCCACUCUCGGCGACUGGAAGCGAACCAAAUCCCUUGAUUAAAUGCACAAAAAGAGAGGAAGUUCGAUUUCUUCCAGGUUCUUUCUAAGAAUCAUACUCGCCUCUCAACAUAAAAAGAUUUUAAUUCCUUCCUGUUUGAGCCGAAAAGAACGUGACCAUUUGACACCAUGGAAUUGCUAUGGCUAUUGGCCCCUACACAGAAAAGCUACCAGUCUUAUUUUUCAAAUUUUAAGAGCUUUGAUUUGCUUCACAGAGAAUCAUUUCCAAAUCAUCAGACGUAGUCUCUGCCUUCAAGGAGCUCUAAAUCAAGUGUGUGGAUACACAGUACACCACAGUGCCACAACAUAAGUAAACACGGGAUGCG